rnacentral:rRNA from 1 species
GACGAACGCUGGCGGCGUGCCUAAUACAUGCAAGUUGAGCGCUGAAGGUUGGUACUUGUACCAACUGGAUGAGCAGCGAACGGGUGAGUAACGCGUGGGGAAUCUGCCUUUGAGCGGGGGACAACAUUUGGAAACGAAUGCUAAUACCGCAUAAAAACUUUAAACACAAGUUUUAAGUUUGAAAGAUGCAAUUGCAUCACUCAAAGAUGAUCCCGCGUUGUAUUAGCUAGUUGGUGAGGUAAAGGCUCACCAAGGCGAUGAUACAUAGCCGACCUGAGAGGGUGCUCGGCCACAUUGGGACUGAGACACGGCCCAAACUCCUACGGGAGGCAGCAGUAGGGAAUCUUCGGCAAUGGACGAAAGUCUGACCGAGCAACGCCGCGGGAGUGAAGAAGGUUGUCGGAUCGUAAAACUCUGUUGGUAGAGAAGAACGUUGGUGAGAGUGGAAAGCUCAUCAAGUGACGGUAACUACCCAGAAAGGGACGGCUAACUACGUG